rnacentral:rRNA from 1 species
UACGGGGGGGGCAAGCGUUGUUCGGAAUACUGGCGUAAGCGCAACGCAGGCGGAUUGAUAAGUCAGGGGUGAAAUCCCGGAGCUCAACUUCGGAAUUGCCUUUGAUACUGUCAAUCUCGAGUCCGGGAGAGGUGAGUGGGAUUCCUAGUGUAGAGGUGAAAUUCGUAGAUAUUAGGAAGAACACCAGUGGCAAAGGCGGCUCACUGGCCCGGUACUGACGCUCAUGUGCGAAAGCGUGGGGAGCAACAGGAUUAGAAACC